UGAUCCUGGCUCAGGAUGAACGCUAGCGGCAGGCCUAACACAUGCAAGUCGAGGGGCAGCACGAAUUAGUUUACUAAUUUGGUGGCGACCGGCGCACGGGUGCGUAACGCGUAUGCAACCUACCUUAUACAGGGGAAUAGCCCGAAGAAAUUCGGAUUAAUGCCCCAUAGUAUCAAGAUAUGGCAUCGUAUUUUGAUUAAAGUUUCGGCGGUAUAAGAUGGGCAUGCGUCCUAUUAGCUAGAUGGUAAGGUAACGGCUUACCAUGGCUACGAUAGGUAGGGGGCCUGAGAGGGUAGUCCCCCACACUGGUACUGAGACACGGACCAGACUCCUACGGGAGGCAGCAGUGAGGAAUAUUGGUCAAUGGUCGGAAGACUGAACCAGCCAUGCCGCGUGAAGGAAGAAGGAUCUAUGGUUUGUAAACUUCUUUUAUUUGGGAAUAAACCUCUCUACGUGUAGAGAGCUGAAGGUACCAAAUGAAUAAGCACCGGCUAACUCCGUGCCAGCAGCCGCGGUAAUACGGAGGGUGCAAGCGUUAUCCGGAAUCAUUGGGUUUAAAGGGUCCGCAGGCGGGAAUGUAAGUCAGAGGUGAAAUCCUACAGCUCAACUGUAGAACUGCCUUUGAUACUGCGUUUCUUGAAUUCGAUCGAAGUGGGCGGAAUAUGACAUGUAGCGGUGAAAUGCAUAGAUAUGUCAUAGAACACCGAUAGCGAAGGCAGCUCACUAGGUCUGAAUUGACGCUCAUGGACGAAAGCGUGGGGAGCAAACAGGAUUAGAUACCCUGGUAGU
rnacentral:rRNA from 1 species